rnacentral:rRNA from 1 species
AUUGAACGCUGGCGGCAGGCCUAACACAUGCAAGUCGAGCGAGCCGCGGACGGGUGAGUUAUGCUUGGGAAUCUCCCUGAUGGAGGGCGACAACUACUGGACACUGUAGCUACUACCGCAUACCAUCAGAUGCGCCCAAAUGGGAGUUGCUAGUGGGUGAGGUAAAGGCUCACCAAGAUGACGAUCCCUAGCUGGUCUGAGAGGAUGACCAGUCACACUGGAACUGAGACACGGACCAGAAUCCUACGGGAGGCAGCAGUGGGUAAUAUUGCACAAUGGGCGCAAGCCUGAUACAGCCAUGCCGCGUGUGUGAAGAAGGCCUUCGGGUUGUAAAGCACUUUCGGCGGGGAGGCGUGACUCACAGAAGAAGCACCGGCUAACUCCGUGCCAGCAGCCGCGGUAAUUC